ensembl:lncRNA
AGGUCCCAGAGCGGUCAGAAUAGUGGUACCGUAGGUCCCAGAGUGGUCAGACUGGUGGCACCAUAGGUCCCAGAGUGGUCAGACUGGUGGCAGGUCCCAGAGUGGUCAGACUGGUGGUAGGUCCUAGAGCGGUCAGACUGGUGGCACCAUAUGUCCCAGAGCGGUCAGACUGGUGGCACCGUAGGUCCCGGAGUGGUCAGACUGGUGGCACCGUAGGUCCCAGAGCGGUCAGACUGGUGGCAGGUCCCAGAUUGGUCAGACUGGUGGCAGUUCCCAGAGCGGUCAGACUGGUGGCACCAUAGGUCCCAGAGUGGUCAGACUGGUGGCAGGUCCCAGAGUGGUCAGACUGGUGGCAGGUCCCAGAGUGGUCAGACUGGUGGCACCGUAGGUCCCAGAGUGGUCAGACUGGUGGCAGGUCCCAGAGUGGUCAGACUGGUGGCAGGUCCCAGAGUGGUCAGACUGGUGGCAGGUCCCAGAGUGGUCAGACUGGUGGCACCGUAGGUCCCAGAGUGGUCAGACUGGUGGCACCGUAGGUCCCAGAGUGGUCAGACUGGUGGCACCGUAGGUCCCAGAGUGGUCAGACUGGUGGCA